UAUUAAAUGGCAAGUGUUGCAUGAUUAUAUCAGCACUUCUUGUAUUUUCUCUCCAGCACCCCAGUAUACAGAAUUAAUUCAAUAUUUCCCUUGGGUUGGAGGCAGAAAAUAGCAUGAAAAAAUGCAAAAUAACAUGCCACCGAUUUUGGAAAGGAAUUUAUUUAUGAUGUUUUCCUUAGGACUGAAAUCUCCUGAAGAGCCAAAGGGCACGGUUAGUUUAACAGGGUUUGUAUGAGACAAUGGCUCCAGCCUGCAUCCUUUGGGCAAGUCCACAGGACAUGGCAACCAGCUGGGAUGAUCAAGCUAAAAUGUGCAUAGACAUUGCCCCUGAAAAGUAGCUGUGGUCAGAAAAGCCCACUUUCUCGGGCACACAGGGUUGGCUGGGAAUCAUUUACUGCUGGCAGAGAAGUGUAGCCUCAUCACGGACCUGACCUGAGAUUUACCUCCCCUCUCCUUCACCGAGCCCAUGGCAGGAGCCAAAGCAGACACACAGAGAACAUGGUGGGAGCUGGAGAUUUGGAAAUGUGUAAGGAAUAGCAGGGGAAAAUGUAUUCUGAAGGAGACAUGAGGCUGCUCAGGAAGGGAGAGAGGAAGGCAAUGGCUCACCAGGCUGAGCCUUCCGUGCUGCAGAAGAGGAGCAGAGGAGGCUGCGUGUGUGCUCUUCCAGGAGGUAUGCCAAGCAUAUGACUGCUGCUGAUGGGGAAAGAGUUUCAGCGAACAAGCACAUUCUUUGUAAUGCAAAGGAGAUGUUUCAUUACAAACCGGUUGAGGAGUGUUACUCCGGCUCUGCGGGUGCGUGAAACGGAGAGGCGGCAUCCUGACCCAGAUGGCGUGACCCAGCUGUCGAGGCACCACGGCUGCACGGGCCAGGAAGCUGGUUUUCUGUGCAAAAUAUUGCACAGACACGGUGUCUAAGCUUUUAUAUUUAAAACCCUGAAUAUAAGCGUGUGGCCACUCCCAGAAGGAAUGUAUCAUACAGUUUCCCAGUGUGCAAGAAUAGCUACAACCUCAGCGUUUAAAAGAAAAUCUAAAACACAUUUUAGGCAAAAAAGUAGCAAAAUCACUCACUUCAGUACAUGGCUAAGACAAAAACACAGACUGGCGGUGUCUUUUUGGCUUAUAAUACCACCUACAUGGCCACAGUGCAAAACUUGCCCUGUUGAAACAGGGCAAUGCAGGGUUGGAAAUGUUGUUGAAAAAUCUUUAAGUCCCCUGAGGGGACUUUUGUUUUUAACCAGUUUAAAAUAUUUCUAUCCAGCAUUUCCAUUCAGUUCUGCAGUUCCCCCUCUAAUGAUUGAAAUCAAUGCGCGGGGCCCAACUUUUUUGCUGCUCUCCUACCAUAUGAAAAUGAUGCUGGUGUGUGCUUUGUGCUGGCUUUCCCCAUCACCCAGUGGGUGAAUUUUGUAGCCUGCCUUGUUAGUGGCACAGCAGGCCGCCAAAAGGAAACCGAGUUGUUUGUACGAGAUGAGAUGUUGGGCUGCCAACUGUUAUAAAUCUUGUGCUACUUACAGCUUCAGCUUUUCUUCAAGUCUACUCCACCCCCUGCUGUGGUUUCGACUGUUGGAGCAACAUUAGGAGGCACAACUGAAAGCAGUAAUAUUGGCAUUUGUGGGGAAAAUAAGAGAAAAAGCGAGGCACAAAUGUUUCAUUGCGAGAACUAUAUGCAUAAGACCUGUAGCCGCAGACAUUCAGGCUCUGUGACAGCGGAAAGGGGAUUUGCCCCCUGCAAUAUUUACCUGUAGCUGUAUUCAUUGGCACCAGCUUGUUUUGUAAGUGUAACUGCUUGUAACCUUGCACGUGCUUCCCCACUGUCAUAUCAUAUUAAAUGAGCUAUAAUUGUAGUCUAUUAGAGUGCAAUAACCUAAAAGUGAUAGUGCAUGACAGCACCUGUCAACACGUCAUGGAGGAUUGUACAGAAUGCUGAAUUAUACCCAUUUUAUACCACAUUAAUGAGGCAGCUCAUUCUUAUCCAGUCAUAAAUAAACAGGUUUCAAUUUCUUUAUACACCAUGAGAAGCUGGUUAGUUUUAUUUUUUUUCCCUUUGCACAGAGAACCAAAGAAGUCACGAUAGGGUGAUCUAUUGCCUUAAAAGGAAGAUCGGAGUGUGGUCAUUAAUGACAAUGAGGAUAUUAUUUUUCUCAUUAUUAAUUGUUUUAUGAAUCCAUCUUGGUGUGACUGCUUCUUCCCAUUUUUCCUGGAAAAAAAUAUAGAAACACAUAACAAAAAGCAAGGCUUGUCUCUAAUAAACUUUUAAUAUAAAACAAAAUUGAUUCAGCAGCACCCAAAGGACAGAGUGAUACAGGCAGAAACCCGAUCCUCUUAAGAUCAAUGGCUGUUCUGGGGUCUGGUUCUACCUCAUAAACUCUUUAAGUCAGGUUUGAACUGGGAAUGGGAAGAGAAAAAAGGAAAAUGACAGUAGGGAGAAGAAAGACAGAGAAUGAGAGGCUUUCAGACAAAUCAAAAGAAAAGCAAAUGUAUCAAAGCACAUGUAUAGUGCCCAUUAUUUUCUGUAACCUAACUAGAUCACGGUGUCUUCAUUUCGGAGAGCUGCUUGGGCUUCAGAGCCAUAAAUAACUGCCUGUGGUCUUCUGCUGAGCCCACGUGAGGAGAGGUUGGUACAGUCAGUCCCUGUGAGCAAAGCUCUCACCCCCUGACCCAGACAGAGGCCCUGGGCACCCAAUAUACCAGGAAGAAGAGCAGGCUUGAAAGCACAGCCCACAGGAGGCACGCCAGCUUUUCCUUAGGAAGUGAGAAAGAGAGAUCCAGCCUUGGGAGCUGACACCUGGGCAGUCAGCGUGACCAGACAAUGAUCUCACCCACCCUCAGCUCCACACAGGACUCCCAAAACACCCUCUGUACCUUGGGUAACCCCCAGCUUGCCACAGGAAUGAUGACUUUGGAGCUACAGGGAAAAUCUGUGAUGCUUAUCUGAAUACUCUGACACCACAGGCUAUUUUAUUCUUUUUUUUUCCUCAGGACUGGUGAUGGGUAAUUUUGCCAGUAGUGAGUGUUAUGGAAUGCUUAAGUAAAAAUUUCUUAAUUUGUCAAUAUUUAUUUACUUUUUUAUUUAUUACUUAAAAAUAAAAACCUAAAUUAUUUCUUCACUUGAAUAUUUUCUCUCUAAUCUUAGCUUCAUAACAGGGAAACAGAUUUAGAAUUAUGUUGUUCAAAUCCAACAAAAGUAAGUUUAAAAUCCUCAUUUGAAAAUCAAGCCACCAUUUCCUUCAGAACUUGUUUACAACCUAUCUUCCAACAAAUGCACUGUCCUAUGAAAGAAGUGCUGAAUGACAGAGGAAGAAAUGUUUUUAGGCACUAGGCAAAUUAAAUCAGGUCAAAAUUGUUUCUGAAAUUGGCUUGAUUUGGAUAAUAAUUUUGACUGAAAAGGACUGUGAUUUCAAAAAAAGAAAAAUUAUUUUCAUAUUUUCACAAUAUUUUUCAUCACAUAUUUUCAAAAAAUAAUUUUUUGUUAAAAAGUUGAUUUCUAAACUUCUCUAAAUUUAAGAUGCACUUAAUGAGCAUUUCAGUCCCUCCAAAUAAAUUAACUUUGACUUCAACCCCCAAAUAAUUUUCCCUAACCUUUUUUUUUUAAUUUUUCCGAGAAAGCCAAUAAAAUUUUAUGCUUCAGGUCAGUCCAAAAUGAAUGGGUUUUUUCUUCAGUUUGACCAGUGAACUGAAAAAUCAAUUAUUCACACAACUCCUCUUUAAAAUGGCUUGGAACCGUCUAAUUGUGCAUGUAGGCAGCUACUUACUGUGUGAUCUUAUUACUGCUCUCCUAAUUCUUGCUCUUUUCCCGCCUAGCUUUGCUGUGUUUUGUUCUGUGCCAGACCAUAGACUGUUGCAGUCAGGCAUUUUGCCUUCCUGACAUCUGGGAUCUGUGUGCAGGGCAAUUAUUCCUGUGCCAGUGGUACACAAGCAGCACAGGGCUACGUCCUUCACGUGUCCAUCAUUUCUCACUAGCAUCUGGAUGCCUUCCUUGUCGUUGCAAGUGACAUCCCCAGCACACAGGAUUCAUGGCCUUCUAUUUCCUCCUGAAAUUAAUAAUUCUGUUCUACAAAUUAAGCAUUUAACCUUUCCUAUCUUGCCUGUCCACUGCCAUUUGAACUGGAAGUGAACUCAAGGAAGGGAACACAACAGAAGCCUUUCAAAUGUCCAUAGCAGAGGGAGAGUUAAACGUUUGAUUUCCAAACUGGAAAGCAGGUGAGAAGCAGCAUAUGAGGGAGAAGAUUGAAGAGUUUGGUUUCUACCUGUUCAACAACAUCAGCAAAGCAAGAAUAGAUUAAUGAAUGAGUGGUUCUUGCUGUAGAUGUAACUACCAGAUCAUUCAAAUAUCUUUAUCUUUCACCGUCUUUCCUAGUUUUUUUGUUGUUUGCUUUAUUAGUUUAUUUUUUAUUUUCUUUCCUUUUAAAAGAAACAUGUAGUAGUGCUUUCUGGUCUCUGUUUAGUCUGAGUUUAUUUCAGUGGACUUACACCUCGUUUACAGUGUGGCAGCAAAGGUUUCUUUGCAACCUAAGAACAAAAUUUUAACUGAGAUGCAUUGUAAAAAUGCUUGAUUCCUCCUCAAAACAAAAUGGAUAUUUCACCUUGACCCAGACAAAUGGCAGAUGCUGUCAAACACUUACUGUAGCAAGCAGAUACAGAGGAGAAAGUAAGGUUUGCCCAUACACUGGCCUGAGAUGACCAUCAGUAAUUCAUAAAUUGUUGUUUUGAUUUUGUUUUUUCUUUAAUAAUUUUUAGUGUCCUUAUAAAACACCAGUACAUCUCUCUUCACCCCAAACUAAAAAUGCAGUUGUAAAAAUCUCCCUUCAAACAUGACGCACAGUCUGGGAAACAUGUUCAUCUCUGAAAGGGGACUCACUGGAAGCUCAUAAAACAAGAACCUUUCUAUUUUUAAAGUGUUUCCCAUACAUCCUCUGGACAUGUAAGUCAUAGCUCUCUGCCUCUGUGAACCACUGAAGCCAAGAAAGAAUCUCUGCAUUAGGCUGCUGUGUGUUUCAGUGCACUGAAAAAACACUGGUGGGGAUGACAGUGAGUGAUCAGCAGGAAGCUUUCACAGAAAUCCUGAUGCUAGCCUGUUUUCCAGCAGCAGAGAGCUACUAUUUAGAUCUUUGGGACUCUAGCUGAGAAGGCAAAAGAUGUCAAAAAUGGCCAAACAAAAACCAACCAAAGUCUAGACUCCCCAAGAAUUUAGUUCAAAAGAAGACUUUACAUCUUGGUGUUGCUCAUGGCCUCCUGAACAGUCUGGCACAGAGCAGAGAAGGAAUGAGCACAUGACACCAGGACCCCAAGGGACAGCUCUGGGAGCAGCAACUUACAUCGCUCACAGAAAACCACACACCAUUUCACAUGUAGGGAACACACCAUGGAAUAAAUUGUACCUACUUAAUUAACUGCGCUUUGCAGUUCUAUAUUAUUAGCUGCUGAGGGCAACUGGUGCCUUGGCACUGCAGUCAGCGAGGAUUGCAUACACAGCCUGAACCUGCUAAUUGAGCACGAGCAAGUGCACGCAGCUCGGCUGGCUGAUGGCCCAGGCUCCACCGCACGGCGAGCAAAGCAUCUCGGGGCCUGCUGCCAGACACCCAGCACAAUUACGUGUGUUAAAGCAGCAGCACCUCUGUAACCUACACACCAGGAACAACUUGCCAAGCACUUGGUCACUACACGAUAGCAAAUUCGACAUCUGAUUUGCAGGCGCUGCACUGGGUACAGAAGAAAGCUUCCUUCUCCUCGGCUGCAUUUCUAAAUGAAUCUUUAUCUGACAACCAAGUACCACCCACAUUUGCCAGCUGACACCCUGCGUCAGGCUCUGCUCCCAGUUUUGUAAAUUCCAUGAAGACCCCAGGGACAGUCAAAGUGCAAGAGCAAACAGAUCUGGGGGCCUUGUUUUGGAGUUUGGUGGUGGUUUUUGCUACUCUUCCAUGCCAGUGGAAUUUUAAAAGAUGAGUACAAAUGAUACAGACUUGUGUAAUGCUUGAAAUCAAAUUCUUCAACAUCUGAGCUCUCUACAAAAGAAGUUUGCAGUUUAAUUAGAAUGGCUUACAUCCAGCAACUGUAUUCCGAUUAAACAAAAAUUAGAUCAUAGGGAUAUUUUCUUUCCUGAAAGUAUCUCAAACAGGGAGAGGGGAGAAUGUAUUUACAUUCACACACUGUGAGUUUGUUUUAGAAACAUACUGCCAGGGCAGACACUUGUGGCUGGAGGCCAAGGGGAGACCCUGCAGGCUAAGUUAGACGGUGUCCUUGUUGUCCAGUGUGCUAGUGGGAAAAGGAGAGACUGAUAUUAGGCCUCUGCCCAGAAUCCUUUUUUCCAUUGUGUCCCAACAGGUGUGAAGUCUGAUUGUCAUCAUAGAUGAUCUCCUAUCUUUUGAACUCCUCUUCUUGUUGAAGGUAUCAUGGGUAAAUCAUGUUAGCUUUGAUCUGAGCCUUUCCCAACACCCCAUAAAACACAGCUUUGCAUAUCAGGGCAUGAACAACAGCAAUAAAAGUGGUGCACUUAAGUGUAGGAUUUUAUGGAUCCAUCUGCCAAGCAUUUCUUCACAAGAGAAGAAAAACACAUUAUGAGUCUAAGCAGAUGCCAGGUCUCACCAAACUGUUCAUUGACAGCAAAACAUCAAGCCAUACCUAAAAUUGCCUGACCCGGUUGCUACAUGUUGAAGAUGAAUCUGAAGAUAUCACUGAUGCACUGACUCUGAGGGAGCACUUCAGGGAAUGGAGAUGGGAGGAGAUGAUGCUGAGGACAUUCAAGUCCUUUCUCUGUUUAUCCUUGACCAAACAUGGUCCUCACCAGCAGAAGUAUCUGAGUUUCUCUGAGGAUGCAGAAGAGGGAAAGAUGUACACAAUAUUUAUAAUCAUUUGAGGAGAUGUCACAUUCAUCCUAAUCACAGUCCUGAUCUCUGAGCAUGGCAGAGCAGAAGAAUAGGCAUUCCUUCUGCAUAAAACUGGUAAAUAGUGUGCAGGAAAAAUAAGGGCACUGUUCAAUGAUAUGGAUAAGUAAAUAUGACCCCACAUUAAUAGAAUUACAGUUAUUUUAGCUGGAAGGGACAUUUGAAGGUCAUCUGCUCUGAUUACCUUCUCAAGACUGGUCUUGCUUUGAUGUUAGUAAAUCAGACCUACCGUAGUGAGGGGGUUCAACUGGUCAUAAAGGACAACAUGGAUUUUAGAGCCCUGGCAGCAUCUUCUGACACCCUGAGUCCCCCUGAACACCCAGAAGUUGUCUGAGUCCCUGUGAGGAGCCAGGGAGGGACAAAGGGCUCAUGCAGUGUUUGAGCUGCUGCAUAGCACCUACUGAGCCUCCCCACUGGGAUAAAACUCUUAAGAACUGGGUCUACCUCAGUUUUCCCAGCAAGUGAGGCAAUCCAAGCCAUACCCAAUGCUUACAUCACCAUGGUGUUCAGAGCAUGCCUAAGAGGAAAUUUCUGUGAGAUGGCAAAUUCCCUUCUGCCUCUUCACAUAGUCUGUGUUUGCUGUCACAGAAGACAUACUGUACAUAGGUACUCUGGGGUCAAGAUACAUGUGAAAUAUCUCCAGAUGAGUGUCCUUCCCAUUGUCUCCCAUUCAUUCUUUUCCUCUCUUCUGUCUUCCCCCAUCAGCUUUUGCUCAUGUAUAGACUCCCAGUAUUGCUUGGGAGAGGUGACCAUCCGACUUCUACCUUCCCAGGCCUCCAAACACCUUCCCAGCUGCAAACACAAGGGAAGAGCAUGGGCAAGCACCUGUCAGAAAGGGCCAUGCCCUUAGAGAGAGACAUUUUAUUUGCACAGACUAAAGCCCCCCCUGCACACCUAGGUGCUAGAAAAACCUGACCACCCAAAUGUUUGUGCAAAGGGAAUAAAAGGAGCAGGAACGUGAUCAGAUGGAAUCACUAGCUAGCUUUAGCAAACAUGGGCUCUAAUUAAUUUUUUCCUCCCAUUGUUUACCCAGCUUUGUAUGUAACUGAAAGCUGAACUGGGCUUAUCAGUAAUUACCAACAGUUCUGGAAACUUUACACAUUAUUGUGCUGCGUUACUACACAGGGUAGUGAUCCAUGAAGAUGGGUGUCUCUGCAUUCAUUGCUAAGCAAUGCCUUAAAAAAAUCAAAAUCUCCCCCAACCUUGUAUUAUGGUUGCUGCAACGAAGUGGGGAAAAAGGAGGGAAGGCAGAGGGUGGCAGCGCGUCUGCUUCAGAUCUAAUUAUGAAAAUUUCCGGGACACAGUGGCAUGCUACCUCAGCAGCAGUGUCAGAGGAUGCUCCACCUGUUGCCAGACUUCUUUCCCAGCCCUGGAAUUGCAUUUUCCCAUUCCAUAGUGACACCUGCUGGGAGCAACUGAGCGGAGACUCCCCUGCUGCUCUGCUUGGCAAGGGGCUGAGCAGUGCAAAAUGAAGGGUCUACGGCAAUCAGGCAGAUUGAUUCCCCUCCUUUCCCUACAGAUUGAGCCAGGCUCUUAUCAGAGGGAAAACGGAUGUCUGCAGCAUGAUUAAUGCUCAGAAACACCCCACAUGAGCAGCCCCUGAGACAAGACACUGGAGCAUCAUCUGUCGGCCUGCAAGAGAAAGGAGUGAAGAACAUCAGAGGGCUGUUUGCAUGCAGAGGACCAAAUUUAGCCCAUGUAGCAAAGAGGUGAAAGCAGAGUUGAGUUUUUCUUCUUUGCAGGAGCUGAAAGGUCAUAUGAAAGGAAAGGUCAUGCUCCACUUGCUCUUUGCUGACAGUCUUUCUGUAAAUAUUGGGCAAUGUAGGAAGAAAAGAUCUUGGGCCAAGUACCUUUGGUCUGAUUCGAUAUGGUCAUUGUGAUGGCAGCCCAAACUGUGGCUUCUCUCUGCUUUCUAUUCUUCUUUCCUCCUGAGGAUUUCACUGUUCCUGCCCAGCAUUUAGAUUCCGUCAUGCCUGGCAUGUGGGCUGCAAUGCAUGCAUGCAAUAACCAGGGAAAUGGAAAAAUCUUGCCCUAACCCUGCACUUUCCUUUCCCCCUCUCGAAGCUGAAGGGAAAAGACAAAUCAGGAGGAAAAGUGCCAAAAUGUUUUAGAAAUAAACGACAGACACCAGAGUCAUCACACAUUUUCCUAGGAAGGAUAGUAAUUUCUGUAAUGUAUUUUUAACCAUGAGGAGUGAUGGGAGGGAAGCCACUUAAAUCUAAUGCAAAUGAAGGAUUUGUCAGUUACGCAGUUCGUAUAAUGUCAUACGUAGAAAAUGUUAUAAAAGUGGAGGGAUUAUGGCGAGGAGAGACAUUUCUAAAAUUGGAGGCCUUCUUUUAGGGCUUUAGCCCCCUCACUCUUUCAGAUCACUGGGAACGUUUUCCUCCAAGGAAGGGCAGGAGUCUCUCUCAAAAACUGUGACAGCUCUCUAAGCUACAUGUUACUUAAGAAACUUCAUUCUCCUCACUGCUACCUCUUCCAGUUUUUGCCAACUGCUGCUUCUCCUUAUUUCAGUUCUUCAGUGAUCCCCAACCACUUUAAGCACAGCAGGGCAGUUUCCAAAUUCUUCCAGACUAUUUCCUUCCUCCCUUCAAGGCAAUGGCAGCUUCUGUGACCAAAAAACCUUAUCUAAUAUGGAGGCUUUCCGCUGUUUUGGUUUUGAUUCCAGAUUGGAUUAAAGGUGCUAGAAACAGGACCAUUUGUCCGGCUGAUGCCAAGUGACAGCAUCAGUUUAUGGGCACAUCUGGAAUUUCCUCGCAGCAGUGGCUCAAUAGGGUUAAUUGCACUGACCUCAUUUAUAAAGCACUUUGAGAUCUUAUGAAUGAAUAUAAGUGUUUAAAAAAAAAAAAAAAACAAAAAAACAAAAACAAACCAAUGCAUUAUAGUUGUUAAUAUGUAUUACUCUCAUGGAUAUUUAAGCAAGAAAUUAUUGAAGCACCCAUUUACCACAAAAAGUAGAGCAGCACCGCAGCCACAGGAGUCUGGCAGGCUGGAAAGAGCAUUUAGCCCAGCAUUUGGGGCCGUCCUGACCCACUAAUGGCCUUGGUUGUUAUUAAGGCUCUCGCCAAGGGUAAAACGUGCUUAAGCGUAUUAGCCGCUACUCGGUGAAGGUUGACAGACGUGAGACCCUCAAAAUAAACAGGGAGGCCGAGAUACCUUUAAAUGGCUAACCCGUGAGCUAACAGCAAACGCCGAGCCGCGGGAGCAGAACAGCCGGGCUCUCAUUAGCGCUAACGAGCCGCUUUCCCGGGAAGCGGCUCGGGCACAGCUCCUUUCGAGGGGAGAUGAAGCCCCCCGGUGGCCGCCGGGCGCCUUGCAGCCCCGCACCGCCCCCAGCCGCUCCCGCACCGCUCCCAGCCGCUCCCGCACCGCUCCGAGUCGCUCCCGCACCGCUCCCGAGCCGCUCCCGCACCGCUCCCGCACCGCUCCCGGGACCCCGCGCCUGGGCCGCGCUGACCCGCGGCCCUGCUGGCCACCCAGGCCUCACCCCGGCCCGGCCGGCCCCCGGCCCACACAGCAGCACGCCCCCGGCCCACGCAUCGCCUCGCCGUCUUUCCCGGUCCCCCGAGCGGCCAAGGGAGAGGAAGCGCCUCUCAGCCGCGGGGGUUUCCGUCCUGUCUGCAGCAGGUUGCACAAGGGGAUGUGAAUGUCACCCAUGUUCCCUCUUAGGUAAACAACAAAUAUAAAUCUCAAACAAACACGACGUAGAUUCUCCCUUUCACAGAGGAGGAAAUUGGCGGGUGUCCCAGUCUCAUGAGAGGAAGAGUUUGGUUUUGCAACCAUUUGUCGUGACGCGGGAGUAGUUCAGACACUGAUACCGUACAAGUGUUCUUUCCAAACUUAAAAGCCACACCUUUGGCGUUCUUCACUGGCAGGAUCCAAGUGCACUGAAAAGCUGGUGUGGGCCAAAUGUUUUAUGUUAAAUUGCUCUCUCAAAGCCCUAUCUUCUUCUGUUACUGAGAAGUUUUUACACAAUUCUUGCAUCUACUGGUAUUCCUGCACGUAGGCAUACGGGUAACAACUGAAUAGGCGGUUUGUUUUUGCUGGAAUAAGGAUCUGACCAAAUAACCCAAGCAAAUGGCUGAUCGUGGAGUUUCAGAUACCAAAAUGUAGGGUCUUAGCUCCUAAGUGGGGUUUGUACUUUGGACUAUCGAGUUCAUGAUUUUUUUCUUACUCUGACAGCAGAAGCCCUCAGUUAAAUUAAAGAGCCCAUAGCUGAUUCAUGCAGAGUCUUCAAUGGAUGUGCUUGUUUCACUGGAGCAUCGGCGGUAUGGACAAAUUACCAAGAGCAAUCUGAGCCACUGAAAUAUGCAUAGAAUUUGUUUGGGUUCCUUUCUGCACAGCAAAAAUGUCAGACAUGCUUUUUUACAGCAACUCAUAAUUGGAAUAUAAUUGCUUAAUAUUCCCAUCCAUCUGAAUUACAAGUAACACUUCUUAUUGCAGAAAGGUUAUCGAAAUAUUCACUGUGUGAAUCACAGGUUAGACUUAUAAGAGGGUCUUACACAACAGAACCAACUGUCACCAUCCUGUCUUUAAGUAUAUAUGUCACUGCCUUGUGACAGAUUUAUUCAAGAUCAUUUGUACAAUAAGGUACUCCUAGGUUUUCAUUAGAGCUAGAAGAACUAAGCUGAUAGGAGUUUGCUUUUUUUUUAAAUCAGGCUGGAACUUUUAUUUUCUGAUAGUAGAAGCCAGCGCCUCCUAUGGAUUGCAUUCUCUAUAGAUACGGAGAGUAGCUAGAAAAAUCUUCCAAGGAAAUAUGAAAUUGUGCACAGCUUUUCUAUAUUAGUGUAUCAAUCCAGCUAAAGAGCUACAACUUACACAUACCCUGUUCUGUUCUGAAUCCCACCAGUCUCAUUUCCCUAGGCAAAACUAACACUGGGGAAACCCACAAACUAAGGGUGUACUUGCAACUUCAAAAACAUAAAAGGCACUUGGAGCUACAGCGACAGGACCACAGCACUGGUACACUGGGCCUUGUUUCUGUGGGGAAGGCAGAGAGCAUAAUCCAGGUUAUUGUUCCUCCUCUCUCUUUGGCCCUCUCUUUGUCUUGCACACCACAGGCACAGCCACCAUCAGAGUACAGUACUUAAGCUAACUUUUCAAAGCUAGUUGUCUGCAUGCACUGCUACAUAGACAUCUCUUGGAGACUGCAUUCUGAGCUGUCCCACGUGUGGGUCCUGCAGCAGCUCACAGAGCUCUUCAGGCUCUUCUCAGCACCAGGCAUGUGCAGGACUGUUCUGUGCAUGGCACAGCACACCAGUGCCUCAAAGGCUGAGGUGCUUCAAGGGGAGCUUAACACUUCCCUCCCUAAAGCCUGCUUCUCAGGGAAGGCUGAAAGGGUGCUCUUUUACUGGAUUAUGUGAUGCCAAAGAACCAAGGUACUUAACACUAGUCCCAGAACAUACAGGAAUAUGCUGUACAUAUUGCUUUGACUAGCAACUUGUUAUUUAAAGUUCAGGGCAAAGAUUUAAACCCAGAGAAGGUUUUUUUUUCAUAAUUGCAGGGGGGAGGGGAGGGGGAGGAUGAUGACGUACAAAUGGGCAGGACGUCAGAAAAUAGGAGUAAAAAAAGAAUUACAUUAAAAAACUUCAGUAUCCUAAUCAAGACUCACUGGAGCUUCUUUGAAAGCACUAUCCCAUAUUUCCUGAGAGAGGUUAAAUGCAAGAUGAUCACUGCAGCUCCUGAAUUUAAUACAUCUAUCAGAAUUCACAAUGAGCUGGGCAUGAGAUCAGUCACUUUGUUUUCCAUGGAAAAUUCUCCUGUUUUACAUUAAUAGAAUAACUAAAUUCCCUACUAAAUACAGUGUAUUUAUUGGUUAAUUCUUCUUGGGACUAGCUUUUCUUGACUUUGUUCAAUGUUUUGAAAAAAUUCAAGUUUAGUCUUAUGAUAUUAAGAGCAAGUUUCAAAUCUAUUCCAAAUCUCAUCAAGAUAUCCUCUCCUGCUACAAAAUCUCACCCUGGACUGAACACGAAAAGACAAAAUUAGUCCUUUUCAAGACAGAAUCAUCAAAGAUCAAUGCCCAUCAAAGAGCUUUACUUGGAGGAAUAAAGAAAGAGGCCAAAUUUCAAGAUAACACAGACAGUCAGUGAGACUGGAGUGCUUGAAGCUGCUGGAAUUUUUUUAAGUCAUUCACAAAUACUAUAUCUACCCUUGACAGGUCAUUUCAUUCUAUUUAGCACUUUUUAUUCUCUGUGGUUUAUAAGCUCUUAAGCAAAUGUAAGAGGGAGGAAAAGCUAACGUGUCUGAUAAUACACUAUAUCAGGCUGACAACCUAACUGAAUUUCCCCUGUGGUGCUAGCAAAAUGCUGUUCCAAAAAGUAAUAAUGCAUACAAAAAAAAAAAAAAAAAAAAAGAAAGAGAGAAAAAGGGGGUAAAGGGAUCAUAGAGAUCAUGCCGUCACAUUUAAUUUCAGAGAACAAAACCUGAAGCUGAUUUCUCUUUAGAUCAGUUGUAUACCAGUUGGAACAUGGGUGCCUAGCACUGCGACAGAGUAAUAUGAUCUGAGCUUUAAAUAGCUGCCAAAUAACCAUGUGGUGGCUGGCAGCAUUAAACGUGUUGCAACGAGAAUGAUCUGUUUCAAAGUAAAGCCACAUAACAGAGGAUUAGUCAAUCUGAUGUGGUAUAGAAGAGGAGGGGGGAACGUUUUUCAUUAUCCUUCUGGGUUUCUUUUUGGUUUAAACAUCUUCCAACUCAAAGAUGCACCAGUUUAAGCUCUUUCUCUUAACUGGUUUAAAACCUGAACCAUCUCCAGGUCAUUUCAGAUAACAUCUCCUAAGGUACCCGGGUGCAGGUGGGGAGUAACAGUGUGACGAAUGUGAAGUAACACCACUGAGACUGUUCCCUUGAUUUAACCUAGUACAGAGUGGCUGACUCUCAGUGUGAAAGGCACCUUCCCUGCACAGAGCUGCUCUCCACCUCCACCCCCUCUACCCCACUACCAUCCCCCCAGCUCCCUAGUUUGUACCAAAUGCAUUCUUGCCAGAUUUUAGGAACAGACAAGGAACAGAUCUACAGCAAGUAACAUGGGGUGAUUUGUACUCCAAGCCCUUUCCUCAUCCUCACAGCAAAAAUGUCUAGCCUUGCAGCACUCCAUGAGGCCCUUCUGGGCUCUUUGGGACACAGGAGAAAAUCAGGUGCAGUUUGGAGAUGUCUAACAGGAAUUGCUGCCAGCCCUCCAUUCUUUCUUGUCAAAUGGCUCUUCUGACCACUAUUGUAAAUAUGUCUCCUGAGUAGAUAAGGCACAUAAGGACUGGAAAGACAGACCAGUUUUGGUCUUAAACUGGUAAUGUGAUUGAGACACACAGAGGGAAAAGCAGUGCUGUAAGUACUUGCGAUUCUUCAUCCUUUCUGUCACUUUUGAUUACAGAUGACUGACUUCUGUUUUCAAUUUCAGUGUCUCCCCCAGCUUCAGCUGCAUCAGUUCAGACUUACUGUAAGUUAACAGCAGAAUUUCAUGUGAACAUACUUUAUCUAGCCUUCACUGCCUGGGAAUCACACUGCCAAAAGGACAAAUAAGAACAGGAGAGCCAGAGGAGAGCCAGCUGCUGCAUCAGAAGGUAAAUAGCUCAUUUAAGAUAUUCAAUAUGACUUCUUAAAAGAUAAUAAGCACAACAUACUUCACAGCCAGGAUUUUGCAGGCAUGAAGACAGCUAUAGACACUACCUACAACUGUUUUACUAGCAGUUUACUAGCACACUACAGAGUACAGUCUCAGCGGCAGCUUUAUUUCUCCCUGCAGAGAAAUAAAGCAGGCUUUUUUUUUUUUUUUUUUGCAUUUCCUCAGAGGAGAACACUGUUGUACCUCAUUAAUGUAAAUGCUAAUAAACAGCCACAAAUUUCAUGAAGGUCAGCUCCAGUGAAACCUACAGCAGCUAUCCAAAUGAGUAAAAAGAAUAAAUGGGCAAAAUCCUUUUCUGACUGGUCUUGUCUGCAGCUGCCUUUGCCACAUUGUGUUGGUGUAUCCCCCAGGGAUCAACAACAGCUGCACAGAGGUCUGGCAGAUGGCAUCGACAGAGGGACACUUACCUGUCUUUUUCUCCCUCCUAUCUCACUUUCUUCUCCUUAUUUUCACACUGUCUCCUUUGUGGGCAGUCAUAGUCCUUCCCAUGUUUGCACUGGACAAAUGGAUGAUUUACAGAUUGAAAGCAAUCAGAAAAUACUUCUUAUUUACUCUUCUUCCUCACUCUUCCAAAUACAUUUGUUAAAAUAUUAACCUCUUUUCUUCCAAUAUGAUCACAGGCUAUUAAGCCAGCUAGGAAAUUAUUAAGGAAAAAAAACAAAAAAAACCCAACCAAACUCCCAAACUCCUAUGGAUUUGUGAGGAACACAGUUCUUUGACCAAUUUCACAGAAUAUUUUGAUUAGCGUAUUUAAUCCUCUUUACAAUAUUUUAUUCAGCUCUCAUGAAAAUCCCUGCAUCCCUGCCAAGGAUUUUCUAGACAAAAGCAUAUCUGGAAGAAUGCCACAAAGCAAGUUGCCUUAGCUGGCCUGUCUUCCUCAAGUUCUUACAAACCCAUUCCCCUGCACAUAGCUCUUUAAUGAAAUCAGAAGAACAAGAGUUAAACUGUGCUUUUAGGCAAUAAUCAUCCAGAAAUGCCUCCCCACCACCCUUAACUCCAUUCCUUGGUCUGCAGCAACUACUUAUUACAUAUCACGUGCUUACCUACAUAUAUUUUUUGGAGGGAGCAAACAAACCCCACCAUUUCAGAAAGAACCUGACUUUCAUUCUGCCACUAAGAGGGAAUCCAAUUAAAGCAAAUUGAUAGAGCUACGGACUGCUGCCAACAUAUGAGUCUGCGUGAAAAAUUUAUGAGGACUCAAGAAAUUUCUGCUGGUGUUGGAAAGGCUUCCAGACAUUUUCAAGGGAAUCCUCAGAAACACCUUGGAUCUUGAUGGCCAUUACAUCCACAGUCUGACCCAAAGGGUUGCCUCCAGGAGAGGAUGUCUUGCACACAAAAGUGUAACUAAUUUUGCUGCAUAAUGGAGAGAGUUCUGAAGAUGCACAUGGGCUGAAUUAAGGGCACCACAGGAGCCUUUGGCUCAAUCCUUGCAGAGUUUAUUAGUUGCUGCUGCACACAUGGUUGGGUUUGCUGGAAGAGGUCCAGGUCUGAGGCACCUCUCAAUUCCUCCAGCCUCCAAAAGCUGCAAGAAAGUGGCUCAAGCAUAUUGUCCCCUUAAGCUCUUGUGGAGAAGGACUCACCCCUGCAGAGAAGCAAACAGGGUUUGGGAUGGGGUACCUAGUCAAUAACUCUUGAUUAUUGAGUUUACCUUCACAAUUAGCAGUGAGUGUCCUAGACUAUAAAGAGGGCAAAAACCAACAGAAUGUAUUAUUUGAGAAACAGUAUGUGAUUGUGUAAUUAAGGGCAGGAAUAUAAUACCAUAUGCACAACGAGCAGGGUUAAUUUCAGCAUUUCCUGACUAACCAACAGCAUUAUGGUGUAACCCUAAUGUUCUCCGGAUGGCUAUCAUUUAUGUGGGGUUCAUACACAUAUGCUUAUGAAUACUUGGUUAAAAUUCACCCAUCAUACUCUCUGACACAGUAAUUAAAAACACCAUGUUAUUUGCCAAUAAAAAUAUUUUUGUGAAUUGGUAAUUAUUCUAAACCUCACAGUCCCAGCUUCCCUACCUCCUACUCUUGUUGUCUUCCUGUUCUAUAAUGUAUAACACUAAUCUUGAUGAGGGAAAAAUAAAUAAGUAGCAGGAAAGGCUGGAAAGCUUCCAAUCACAAAACCUCCCAAAAUGGAAUAACAUCCAAUCUGGCUCACCACAUCUUCUCUGUGGGCAUUCCUUUCCUGCCUUUUAGCAAUGCUUUCAGUAUUCAUACCAGCUGUGGAAUUAAGCAUUAUGAACAAGAACAAACCGACAUGCAGCCUUAACUUUUCCCCAUCAGCCCCAAACUAUUCUGCAUUGAGUUACAAAGUGAAAACCAGCACACUCUCAGAUGGAUUUAAUUUCUAUUUGGGCCCAAUGCCAGACAAAGUUUCCCCAUUGUUAAAACUCAACCCCAUCUUUUCCGUACCACGCAUAUAGUCUCAUCUUUACCCCAUCUUCCACACAGAUGUGCAUGCACACACACACAGAACCAGUCACUCCUACAAUGCAGUACCAAAUCCAUCUCCCUGGCAGUCUUAGCUAGGCUCAUUGCUUUCCCUAGCAAGACUAGUAGGCAAGUUGGAUUUGGUCUAUAAUGCAAAUUUUUAACGUGUGGGAAAAUGAAGGCUGCACAAGACACACAUUUUCAUGUCCUAAAUAUUGUCUUGAUAGUAAAUCUUUUUUAAUAAAAAAUUAAUUUUACACAACCAUGAAAAUAUUGUUUAGAGGAGCCAACUCUCUCUGUUCCACUGAAAAAUAAAAGGGUUAAAAUUUAAUUAAAAUAUUAAUGCUAUAACUCAAAAUGCAAUUUUGGCAUAACUUCAGAUAAUGAUUCUACUAUGGCAUUUUGGCUUACAGAAUCAUGCAACACAUGGAUUUCAGAAUACAAAGUAUACAGCUUUCAAAUGCAUACAGAGAAGAGAAAUGGGUAAUAGAACAGUUAAGCUUUUACACAUUCAUGGCAAUUGUCUUCUCUCCAGUCCUCUUCCUAUGGAUGCUGCAUGAACAACUGCACUCUAUUUUUAUAAAGUGCAGACAUGUUUGCUGCCAUUAAAGCUAAGGCAAGUAGUGGAAAACAGGAGAGGAGGUAGAUUGAAUUACUGUGUUUGAAUGUUUGCCUUCUCCUCUACCUUGUGCCAUUCUCUACAAACAGAAGAACAGUGUAAAUGCUAAAAGAUAAAUGUAUAAAAUGUUGAUUCGAGACAAUUCAUAUUCAUGAUUUACUUGCAGAAAAAAAUUUUCUUCUGUUUGUUAGCCUACAAAAAUGCUGCUAAUAGUACAAUGUGAAGAACCACGUGUACUUUCUAAAGAAUUAAAAACAACUAGUUGGGACUAAAGGUCGUUUCUUCCUGUACUGAGUUUUGUGUCCCUUACCCUUGAAAAAGUAAUAGAAGAACUUCAUGAAGGCUGCCUGCACAUUUAAGAUUGCUAUAAUAGUAAUAAUAUACAAAAUUGUGUUCCAGUAUACACAUGUCACAAAGUUUCACAAGUAUUGCUGUAUUCUCUUCAGCAGCGUCUGACUAGUCUGAGUGUAAAUA